rnacentral:rRNA from 1 species
CCCCAGUAAACGGCGGCCGUAACUAUAACGGUCCUAAGGUAGCGAAAUUCCUUGUCGGGUAAGUUCCGACCCGCACGAAAGGCGUAACGAUUUGGGCACUGUCUCAACAACAGACUCGGUGAAAUUGUAAUUCCGGUGAAGAUGCCGGAUACCUGCGACAGGACGGAAAGACCCCAUGGAGCUUUACUGUAGCUUGACAUUGGGUCUUGGUACUACAUGUACAGGAUAGGUGGGAGGCUUUGAAACCAGGACGCCAGUUUUGGCGGAGCCAUCCUUGGGAUACCACCCUUGUAGUACUGGGACUCUAACCAUAGGCCAUGAAUCUGGUCUUGGGACACUGUCAGGUGGGCAGUUUGACUGGGGCGGUCGCCUCCCAAAAGGUAACGGAGGCGCUCAAAGGUUCUCUCAGUACGGUCGGAAAUCGUACGUAGAGUGUAAAGGCAAAAGAGAGCUUGAUUGCAAGACAUACAGGUCGAGCAAGGAUGAAAAUCGGACUUAGUGAUCCGGUGGUUCUGCGUGGAAGGGCCAUCGCUCAACGGAUAAAAGCUACCCUGGGGAUAACAGGCUUAUCUCCCCCAAGAGUCCACAUCGACGGGGAGGUUUGGCACCUCGAUGUCGGCUCAUCACAUCCUGGGGCUGUAGUAGGUCCCAAGGGUUGGGCUGUUCGCCCAUUAAAGUGGUACGCGAGCUGGGUUCAGAACGUCGUGAGACAGUUCGGUCCCUAUCCGU